GACUAUUGAGUUGGAAGCCAAGCGUAGGAAGGCUGCACAGUCUCGGACCCCGACGUCUGACCCCAAUUUGUGGCAGCAAAUUCGCGAGAAUUACGAAGCUAUCGUUCUCGAAGAUCAUGCUUUCUCUGAGCAGCACACCAUUGAGUUUACACUGUGGCAGUUGCAUUACAAACGGAUUGAAGAGUACAGAUCAAACAUCAAUGCUGUCUUGGCUUCUGGUAGCUCCGGUGCGGCUCAGAAUGCAAAGGGUCCUUCUAUAUCCGAACGAGUCGCGAGGGUCAAGCUGAGGUUCAGAACUUUUCUUUCGGAAGCAACUGGGUUUUACCAUGAGAUGAUAUUGAAAAUUAGAUCGAACUAUGGUCUUCCCCUGGGUUACUUUUCCGAUGAUCAAGAGAGUCAAAAUUUGGCUGAUAAGGAUGGGAAGAAGCUGGCUCAAGUUAAGAAAGGCUUGGUGUCUUGUCACCGUUGCUUAAUAUACCUUGGUGAUCUUGCUCGGGGUAGAUUUCAACUCUAUUAAAUCGAAUUUUUUUUUGUUAUUCGUCAUUAUCUCUGGUUGAUCACUUGUACAAUCGAAUGUUCUCUGUAAAGGGUCUUGUUUUCUCUGUUCAAGGUUUUGACUUGAACUUGUUUUCUUCUUGUGUUAACACUGAUCGAAACUGCUUACGGAACUCUGAUUAAUAUCAUCUAUUGGCUCUUUAGAUGAUUGCUUUUGUUUAAGCUUCUUAUAUAUGUUUUUUUUUGUUAUAGAUAAUGACACCAGCAUAGCUUUAGCCUGAGAUUUUUAUUUAUUUAUUUCAGGUCGUUGACAAUUUUGAGACUUUGCAGAUGGAUAAAAAGACUGCUUCCUCGCCAUGGGAGCGAGCCCAAUCCAUAUUCGAUAAGGUUUCCUUCUCUUUCUUACUUUGACAACUCUGUGAAUUUACCUUUAUUAUUGUUUUUGGAGUAGUUUUUUUUACAAUGGAAGCUGUAUCAGUUCGUCUUUAGCUCAUCGUAGGGUUAUAAAGGCCGUUUUGUCUCUGUACUUGAGGCUAUGGUUUUGUAGACCUCUUUAUAGUGACAAUAUAUGCAUUCUUUGCAGACUAUUGAGUUGGAAGCCAAGCGUAGGAAGGCUGCACAGUCUCGGACCCCGACGUCUGACCCCAAUUUGUGGCAGCAAAUUCGCGAGAAUUACGAAGCUAUCGUUCUCGAAGAUCAUGCUUUCUCUGAGCAGCACACCAUUGAGUUUACACUGUGGCAGUUGCAUUACAAACGGAUUGAAGAGUACAGAUCAAACAUCAAUGCUGUCUUGGCUUCUGGUAGCUCCGGUGCGGCUCAGAAUGCAAAGGGUCCUUCUAUAUCCGAACGAGUCGCGAGGGUCAAGCUGAGGUUCAGAACUUUUCUUUCGGAAGCAACUGGGUUUUACCAUGAGAUGAUAUUGAAAAUUAGAUCGAACUAUGGUCUUCCCCUGGGUUACUUUUCCGAUGAUCAAGAGAGUCAAAAUUUGGCUGAUAAGGAUGGGAAGAAGCUGGCUCAAGUUAAGAAAGGCUUGGUGUCUUGUCACCGUUGCUUAAUAUACCUUGGUGAUCUUGCUCGGUACAAAGGAUUGUAUGGAGAGGGAGGAGAUUCCAAGAACCGAGAGUAUGCUGCUGCUUCGGGUUACUAUUUGCAAGCAGCUUCUCUGUUGCCAGCCAGUGGAAACC
rnacentral:lncRNA from 1 species